AUUGAACGCUGGCGGCAGGCCUAACACAUGCAAGUCGAACGAGUGGCGGACGGGUGAGUAAUGUCUGGGAAACUGCCUGAUGGAGGGGGAUAACUACUGGAAACGGUAGCUAAUACCGCAUACCAUCAGAUGUGCCCAGAUGGGUUUAGCUAGUUGGUGGGGUAAGGGCUCACCAAGGCGACGAUCCCUAGCUGCUCUGAGAGGAUGACCAGCCAAACUGGAACUGAGAAACGGUCCAGACUCCUACGGGGGGCAGAAGGGGGGAAGAUGGCACAAUGGGCGCAAGCCUGAGGCAGCCAGGCCGCGUGUAUGAAGAAGGCCUGCGGGUUGGAAAGUACUUUCAGCGGGGAGGCGUUACCAGCAGAAGAAGCACCGGCUAACUCCGGGCCAGCAGCCGCGGUAAUU
rnacentral:rRNA from 1 species